UUCUAUCUAGCAAUAUUUACAAAGGAGCGAUCUCACAAACGCAAAGGGAUAACAUUUAGCUGCAUUUGCACACAGCUGAUAUCUUGCGGACACUUGUUUGUACUGGGGCUACAUACAAUCGCGCAACUAAAGGUAUUUUUACUUUAAAUAUAGUUUUAUGCCAUUUUUUUUAUUAUUACUUCUAGUACCCUCGUAUCCACGGAGCUUAAUAUUGUAAAUAUUGUUUGUUGUUGCUAAAUAUAAUCCUCUAUGGGAUAUUUUCGGAAAAACAAAUAUGUAAAAUUAUGAGACGCACUUGAUGCGAUACGUUUUUCCUAGUAUAGUUAGAAUUUUGGCAAGAUUAGAUACGUUUAAUUGGUGAUGUUCCUUAUUCAAAAAAAAAUACUAGUAUGGAAUAACCGCAGAGCUCAAUUUGGAUGAGCGCGACGGAAAGAAAUAUUUAUUUGAAAUGGUUUUAUGGUCAAACUGACAGGGAUUCAUUCGGGCCAUCUGACAGUGAUUAUGAAGACUGGAUUCCAGCGCAUAUUUCUAGACAAUCAGUCUCCGCUCACGAAGAUCACUCAGAGUAAGAUGAACAAGGGCAUGAUAAAGGAGAACCUUAGAAUAGGUUGAGAGUAGCGAGAGUGAGGUAGAAGAUGAUAAAGCAGAAACUACUCAGAUCGAAGGACGGAUCAUCUGGGAGUUUUAUUGCGAAGGAUAAAACAAUGUCGAAUAAAACGCCACCAGCUCAACAUCAGACCGCAGCUCGUAAUGUUUUACGUCAGGAAAGUUGGCCUUUUCGAAAUACAGAAAUGUUGUCAAUAAGUGCAAUACGGUAGUCAUAAUUGUGCAUCACAAUAACAAAAAAAGCUGAAUUUACUUAUCAAAAUUAUAAUAAAAAUCAUUCAGAAUCUCAA